rnacentral:rRNA from 1 species
UACGGAGGAUGCGAGCGUUAUCCGGAUUUAUUGGGUUUAAAGGGUGCGCAGGCGGUCUGCUAAGUUGGAGGUGAAAAGCCCGGGCUCAACCUGGGUCGUGCCUCCAAUACUGGUGGACUGGAAUGCCCGUGCCGUGGGAGGAAUGAGUAGUGUAGCGGUGAAAUGCUUAGAUAUUACUCAGAACACCGAUUGCGAAGGCAUCUCACGAACGGGUGAUUGACGCUCAGGCACGAAAGUGCGGGGAUCGAAC